AGGAGCCGGCCAGCUCCCCAGCCCAGGCCGGGGGCCGCGCCGCCGCCUCCCCCAGCGUCGCCCCUCGCCUGCCUGCCCGCCUUAAAUGUGACACCGGUGCCUCGGAGUGCGACCCGAAGCCGCCACCGGGGAGGGGACGAGCACCAUGUUGAAUCUAAGCAAAGGCACGGGGAGCCGGAAGGACACCAAGAUGCGGAUCCGGGCCUUUCCGAAUCUUUCAUCCGCAACCUUCCAGUGUGCUUUACAACCUCCUGUGCAGGAAUGGCCUAGCCACUCAAGAGAAAACGAAUGGGACGGUUGGUUCUUCAUUUCCUAGCCAUGGAAGCCCAAAAGAAGAAGUAAUCACCACCAUUGUGAGGAGUGUCAGAACUUCUUGAUUGACAGCUGUGCUGCCCACAGGCCCCCGACCUUUGUAAAGGACUCUGCAGUGGAAAAUGUGCACGCCAAAUGCUCAGCCCUCACUCUGCCCCCUGGGUUAAGUAUCAGACCAUCAGGCAUCCCUGCGGCUGGGCUUGGAGCGUGGAGCGAAGCAUCUGAUCUGUCUUUGGGCCUGCACUUUGACCCCUAAGAGGGCCAGACGAUGAAGAGGCCACUAACGGUGGAUGCUCCUUGGCUGGCUGAAGAGCAUCAGUGACAGCAGAGGGAAAUACCUCUUCUAUUAUUUGCUGCCAAAAAAAAAUCAGAGAAGAAAGCUUGUAUCUCUUUUCUGACACUCAGCUUACCAAAGGGAGAAACCACUAUGAGUAUGUGGGUGGAAAGGACACACCUUUGGUCAACUGGAUGAGGUAUGUGAACUGUGCCUGGGACGACGACGAGCAGAACCUGAUGGCCUUGCAGUAUGGCAGAUCUUCUACCAAAUCUGCCAGGUGGUCAGCCGGGCUGUGAACUUCAGGUCUGAUAUGCAGACGAGUGUGGCAAGGAACUUGGCGUCAAGCGGGACAGCAGGGAAAAGAGCGAGCUCGUGGCUGGGAAAGAACCAAAGCCUAAGAUCUACCCUGUGUAUCCGACUCUCUGGACUUCUCAAGUCAAAAAUUCCUCUCAGAUCCUCCUGAGACCAUCUGCAAGAGACCACCUCCAACCAGAGGAUCCCUGCCCGGUCAGUCAACAUCAGCAGCUGUGAUAUUCUGAUCCACACAGCCUGAGUGAAAAACUGGAGCAACGAGAGGGCAAAAAAGUCCCCAUCCUUCGAUGAAAGGCCGCACGUUUUGCAUAAGGCCGAAGAGGAUUUCAAUGGCCUCUUCCUACUCACCCAAAAGACAAAUGGGGGGUUCUGAGGUGCAUGAGAGAACGACAUAAGAGCCCAGCACAAGCCAGAAACUGAAUGCAGAAGAAACAGGCAAAUUACUUAUGGGGGCAGGGGUAUCAGGAAUUAUAAGACUCAAGUAUGGA